rnacentral:rRNA from 1 species
UACGUAGGGUCCGAGCGUUGUCCGGAAUUAUUGGGCGUAAAGGGCUCGUAGGCGGUUCGUCACGUCGGGAGUGAAAACUCGGGGCUUAACCCCGGGCCUGCAGUGGGUACGGGCAGACUAGAGUGCGGUAGGGGAGACUGGAAUUCCUGGUGUAGAGGUGAAAUUCGUAGAUAUCAGGAGGAACACCAGUGGCGAAGGCGGCUUCCUGGACACCAACUGACGCUGAGACGCGAAAGCGUGGGGAGCAAACAGG